rnacentral:rRNA from 1 species
GGUGACCGGCCACACUGGGACUGAGACACGGCCCAGACUCCUACGGGAGGCAGCAGUGGGGAAUAUUGCACAAUGGGCGCAAGCCUGAUGCAGCAACGCCGCGUGCGGGAUGACGGCCUUCGGGUUGUAAACCGCUUUUAGUAAGGAAGAAGGGGAGCUUGCUCCUUGACGGUACUUGCAGAAAAAGGACCGGCUAACUACGUGCCAGCAGCCGCGGUAAUACGUAGGGUCCGAGCGUUGUCCGGAAUUAUUGGGCGUAAAGAGCUCGUAGGCGGUUUGUCGCGUCUGCUGUGAAAUCUGGAGGCUCAACCUCCAGCCUGCAGUGGGUACGGGCAGACUUGAGUGGUGUAGGGGAGACUGGAAUUCCUGGUGUAGCGGUGGAAUGCGCAGAUAUCAGGAGGAACACCGAUGGCGAAGGCAGGUCUCUGGGCACUUACUGACGCUGAGGAGCGAAAGCGUGGGGAGCGAACAGGAUUAGAUACCCUGGUAGUCCACGCCGUAAACGUUGGGCGCUAGAUGUGGGGACCUUUCCACGGUUUCCGUGUCGUAGCUAACGCAUUAAGCGCCCCGCCUGGGG